GUUAAUGUAGCUUAUAAUAAAGCAAAGC
rnacentral:ncRNA from 2 species